CAAACUUUUGUUCUACUACCCUCUCCACCUCUUUCUCCCUCCUCCUCCGCCUCGCUCUGCUUCUACCUGAACUCUUAUCAGGACGUUAAGUACUUCCUGGUACAGAGUCUGUGGGAGGCUGGUCCUUCUUCCUGGGUUACACAAUGCUGGGCAAGACAACACAGCAUUUCCUGAAGAGAAGGCAUAUUACUAGAAUAAAUGUGAUUAGAAUGCAAGAGAAUAAACAAAUUGUUUCAUACAGUAGACUGACUGUGUGGUGACAGGAAAGAGAGACAUGUGACAAGUUUUAGUGACUACUGGGAACUGUACUACAUGUCACUGUAUUAAUAAAGUAAUUUGAUCUUUUCUGCAA